UUCAUAUCCAAAUAAGCGGAGGAAAAGAAACCAACAGGGAUUGCCUUAGUAGCGGCGAGUGAAGCGGCAAAAGCUCAAAUUUGAAAUCUGGCGCCUUCGGUGUCCGAGUUGUAAUUUGAAGAUUGUAACCUUGGGGUUGGCUCUUGUCUAUGUUUCUUGGAACAGGACGUCACAGAGGGUGAGAAUCCCGUGCGAUGAGAUGCCCAAUUCUAUGUAAGGUGCUUUCGAAGAGUCGAGUUGUUUGGGAAUGCAGCUCUAAGUGGGUGGUAAAUUCCAUCUAAAGCUAAAUAUUGGCGAGAGACCGAUAGCGAACAAGUACAGUGAUGGAAAGAUGAAAAGAACUUUGAAAAGAGAGUGAAAAAGUACGUGAAAUUGUUGAAAGGGAAGGGUUUGAGAUCAGACUCGAUAUUUUGUGAGCCUUGCCUUCGUGGCGGGGUGACCCGCAGCUUAUCGGGCCAGCAUCGGUUUGGGCGGUAGGAUAAUGGCGUAGGAAUGUGACUUUACUUCGGUGAAGUGUUAUAGCCUGCGUUGAUGCUGCCUGCCUAGACCGAGGACUGCGAUUUUAUCAAGGAUGCUGGCAUAAUGAUCCCAAACCGCCCGUCUUGAACCAACGG
rnacentral:rRNA from 1 species